UACGGAGGGUGCAAGCGUUAUCCGGAUUCACUGGGUUUAAAGGGUGCGUAGGUGGGCUGGUAAGUCAGUGGUGAAAUCUCCAGGCUUAACUUGGAAACUGCCAUUGAUACUAUCAGUCUUGAAUACCGUGGAGGUCAGCGGAAUAUGUCAUGUAGCGGUGAAAUGCUUAGAUCUGACAUAGAACACCAAUUGCGAAGGCAGCUGGCUACACGAAUAUUGACACUGAUGCACGAAAGCGUGGGGAUCAAACAGG
rnacentral:rRNA from 1 species